rnacentral:hammerhead_ribozyme from 1 species
CUCCAGCUGAAGAAUCCUAAAUAGGACGAAACACUCAUCCUGGAU